GUGAAUCAUCGAAUCUUUGAACGCACAUUGCGCCCAUUAGUAUUCUAGUGGGCAUGCCUGUUCGAGCGUCAUUUCAACCCUUAAGCCUAGCUUAGUGUUGGGAGCCUACUGCUUUUGCUAGCUGUAGCUCCUGAAAUACAACGGCGGAUCUGCGAUAUCCUCUGAGCGUAGUAAAUUUUUAUCUCGCUUUUGACUGGAGUUGCAGCGUCUUUGGCCGCUAAAUCCCCCAAUUUUUAAUGGUUGACCUCGGAUCAGGUAGGAAUACCCGCUGAACUUAAGCAUAUCAAUAAGCGGAGGAAAAGAAACCAACAGGGAUUGCCUUAGUAACGGCGAGUGAAGCGGCAACAGCUCAAAUUUGAAAUCUGGCCCUCGGGUCCGAAUUGUAAUUUGUAGAGGAUGAUUUUGGUGCGGUAUCUUCCGAGUUCCUUGGAACAGGACGCCUUAGAGGGUGAGAGCCCCGUACGGUUGAAUGCCUAGCCUCUGUAAAUCUCCUUCGACGAGUCGAGUAGUUUGGGAAUGCUGCUCUAAAUGGGAGGUAAAUUUCUUCUAAAGCUAAAUAUUGGCCAGAGACCGAUAGCGCACAAGUAGAGUGAUCGAAAGAUGAAAAGCACUUUGAAAAGAGGGUUAAAUAGCACGUGAAAUUGUUGAAAGGGAAGGAUUUGUGACCAGACUUUUUCUGGGCGGAUCAUCCGGGGUUCUCUCCGGUGCACUUUGCCCAGUAAAGGCCAGCAUCGAUUUUCGGCGGCGGAUAAAAGCAGUGGGAAUGUGGCUCCCUACGGGGAGUGUUAUAGCCCAUUGUAUAAUACGCUGCUGGGGAUCGAGGUACGCGCUUCUGCAAGGAUGCUGGCGUAAUGGUUAUCAAUCACCCGUCUUGAAACACGGACCAAGGAGUCGAACAUUUAUGCGAGUGUUUGGGUGUUAAACCCUCACGCGUAAUGAAAGUGAACGGAGGUGAGAGCCCGUACGGGUGCAUCAUCGACCGAUCCUGAAGUUUUCGGAUGGAUUUGAGUAAGAGCAUAACUGUUCGGACCCGAAAGAUGGUGAACUAUGCGUGGAUAGGGUGAAGCCAGAGGAAACUCUGGUGGAGGCUCGCAGCGGUUCUGACGUGCAAAUCGAUCGUCAAAUCUGCGCAUGGGGGCGAAAGACUAAUCGAACCAUCUAGUAGCUGGUUACCGCCGAAGUUUCCCUCAGGAUAGCAGUGUUGUCUUCAGUUUUAUGAGGUAAAGCGAAUGAUUAGGGACUCGGGGGCGCUUUUUAGCCUUCAUCCAUUCUCAAACUUUAAAUAUGUAAGAAGCCCUUGUUACUUAAUUGAACGUGGGCAUUCGAAUGUACCAACACUAGUGGGCCAUUUUUGGUAAGCAGAACUGGCGAUGCGGGAUGAACCGAACGCGGGGUUAAGGUGCCGGAGUGGACGCUCAUCAGACACCACAAAAGGUGUUAGUACAUCUUGACAGCAGGACGGUGGCCAUGGAAGUCGGAAUCCGCUAAGGACUGUGUAACAACUCACCUGCCGAAUGUACUAGCCCUGAAAAUGGAUGGCGCUCAAGCGUCCCACCCAUACCUCGCCCUCAGGGUAGAAAUGAUGCCCUGAGGAGUAGGCGGCCGUGGAGGUCAGUGACGAAGCCUAGGGCGGAGCCCGU
rnacentral:rRNA from 1 species